UGGGGAAUAUUGCACAAUGGGCGCAAGCCUGAUGCAGCCAUGCCGCGUGUGUGAAGAAGGCCUUCGGGUUGUAAAGCACUUUCAGCGAGGAGGAAGGUGGUGAGCUUAAUACGCUCAUCAAUUGACGUUACUCGCAGAAGAAGCACCGGCUAACUCCGUGCCAGCAGCCGCGGUAAUACGGAGGGUGCAAGCGUUAAUCGGAAUUACUGGGCGUAAAGCGCACGCAGGCGGUUUGUUAAGUCAGAUGUGAAAUCCCCGGGCUCAACCUGGGAACUGCAUUUGAAACUGGCAAGCUAGAGUCUCGUAGAGGGGGGUAGAAUUUCCAGGUGUAGCGGUGAAAUGCGUAGAGAUCUGGAGGAAUACCGGUGGCGAAGGCGGCCCCCCUGGACGAAGACUGACGCUCAGGUGCGAAAGCGUGGGGCAGCAAACAGGAUUAGAUACCCUGGUAGUCCACGCUGUAAAACGAUGUCGAUUUGGAGGUUGUGCCCUUGAGGCGUGGCUUCCGGAGCUAACGCGUUAAAUCGACCGCC
rnacentral:rRNA from 1 species